rnacentral:rRNA from 1 species
AGUUUGAUCCUGGCUCAGGAUGAACGCUAGCGGGAGGCCUAACACAUGCAAGCCGAGCGGUAGAGAUUCUUCGGAAUCUUGAGAGCGGCGCACGGGUGCGGAACACGUGUGCAACCUACCUUUAUCAGGGGGAUAGCCUUUCGAAAGGAAGAUUAAUACCCCAUAAUAUAUUUGAUGGCAUCAUUGAAUAUUGAAAACUCCGGUGGAUAGAGAUGGGCACGCGCAAGAUUAGAUAGUUGGUGAGGUAACGGCUCACCAAGUCAAUGAUCUUUAGGGGGCCUGAGAGGGUGAUCCCCCACACUGGUACUGAGACACGGACCAGACUCCUACGGGAGGCAGCAGUGAGGAAUAUUGGACAAUGGGUGAGAGCCUGAUCCAGCCAUCCCGCGUGAAGGACGACGGCCCUAUGGGUUGUAAACUUCUUUUGUAUAGGGAUAAACCUACUCUCGUGAGAGUAGCUGAAGGUACUAUACGAAUAAGCACCGGCUAACUCCGUG